rnacentral:rRNA from 1 species
UACGGAGGGUGCGAGCGUUAAUCGGAAUCACUGGGCGUAAAGCGCGCGUAGGCGGCUUAGUAAGUCAGGGGUGAAAUCCCACGGCUCAACCGUGGAACUGCCUUUGAUACUGCUUAGCUUGAGUGUGUGAGAGGAUGGUGGAAUUCCUGGUGUAGGAGUGAAAUCCGUAGAGAUCAGGAGGAAGAUCAGUGGCGAAGGCGACCAUCUGGCACAAUACUGACGCUGAGGUGCGAAAGCGUGGGUAGCAAAC